CAGGAGAGUCCGGCAUCCGGAGUCUGUCUGGUGGCGGAAGUCCACCAAGCCUCGGUUCAGCUCCACCAAGAUCAUAGAGCGCACAGAGUGAUAUCAGGCCGACCAUUGGGCCCAGAGCCUCCAUAAACCUGGGAGAGUAACACAGAACAGGAUGAAUCAUUUUACAGAGUGCAGAUUAUGCUCAUCCCAGCUGGACAGAUACGGCUGUAGCAGUACGUCAGAGGUGUAGGCCGGUGCAGCCAGCAGGUGGGAG